rnacentral:lncRNA from 1 species
CUACCUAAGCUCAACUUUUGAUUCUGCUCAAUAGACUUAAUUGCACUAAUUAAAUGUUUAAACAGGAAAAUCACAGCCUAUAAACACAACCGCAAAGUUUCACAACCUAAAUAAAAUUGUUUUUGACAUUAUAUGACUAAUUUAUCCUUUACAAGGACUUACCAUAACCUAAAUCUUUCCCUGAAGCAAAGCACAGACCCAAACAGAAAUAAAUGCCAUCUACAGCCAGGCCCGUAGCCAGGAAUUUCCUAAGGGGGGU